rnacentral:lncRNA from 1 species
AUUUUAGCAAGCCCAGAUUACAGUUUCAGAUAUGACAGUCAACACAUCCUGAAUGUUGGGUCCAACUACAUGAGGCACGUCUCAUCAGUGAACCAGAUCUAUGCGUCAUAGCCUCAAUUCCUAUUGCAUGUUGUGUUGACUUAAUGGAGUCCCAGUUUUCUUGGUGUGCUGAAUCCUGGUCUGAGAGUCACCAACCCACCUGUGGACCACAUUUAUGUAUAAGAGCCUUUUUUAAAAAAAAUCUUC